rnacentral:rRNA from 1 species
UAGGGAAUCUUCGGCAAUGGGGGGAACCCUGACCGAGCAACGCCGCGUGAGUGAAGAAGGUUUUCGGAUCGUAAAGCUCUGUUGUUAUGGAAGAACGAGUGUGAGAAUGGAAAGUUCAUGCUGUGACGGUACUUAACCAGAAAGGGACGGCUAACUACGUGCCAGCAGCCGCGGUAAUACGUAGGUCCCGAGCGUUGUCCGGAUUUAUUGGGCGUAAAGCGAGCGCAGGCGGUUAGAAAAGUCUGAAGUGAAAGGCAGUGGCUCAACCAUUGUAGGCUUUGGAAACCGUUUAACUUGAGUGCAGAAGGGGAGAGUGGAAUUCCAUGUGUAGCGGUGAAAUGCGUAGAUAUAUGGAGGAACACCGGUGGCGAAAGCGGCUCUCUGGUCUGUAACUGACGCUGAGGCUCGAAAGCGUGGGGAGCGAACAGG